ACUAGAACAUUUCAACGGACAGAACAUUGUUCGCGAACAUGUUUGCAACCAAUGUGGACGGGAAAACGAACAUUUCCCCGUAACAAAAAAUGUUCGGUUGUUUGUUCGGUUGCGAUCCGAUAUUUGUCGGUUUUUGCCCGUCACAUCAAAGGAUGUUCGCCGUGGCUCGGAUAACAGUCUGGAGGUCGCUGCGAACACUUCCUGCGAACAUUCAGUUGUCGACGUGGAGCGGUGUUGUCUUCACGGAGUUAGUAGCGGUGCGUGACUCUUUUGUUAUAUGAGAAUGGAGUGGUCCAAGGAAGAUCAAAUAAAACUGAUAGAUUUGUAUAAACAACAAACAGUGAUAUGGGACCCAACAAUGUUAAUCAUUUCAACAAAAUUAGAAAACAAGACGCGUGGGAAGAAAUCGGGGCCGAAAUGGACAGAGAUGUGGACGAAUGUAAGAAGAAAAUGGAGAGUUUGCUAUCAGCAUUAAGAAGGGAGAGGAAGAAAAUGAAAGACACUGCUGGAACUGGAAAAGGAACUGACGAAAUGUACAGAAGUUCCUGGUUCGCUUUCGAAAGUCUACGUUUCUUGCUGGACAAAAAUAAACCAAGAAAGACAAUUUCGACGAUGCGAGUAGAAAGCGAAGAGAGAGACGUAGAAUGUGGUGCAGUUGGAGAAUCAGCACAGGAAACUGUACCGAAAAAGAAGAAGCAGCGAGUCGAAGAUGCACGUCUGGACAAAGCCUUUCAUAUAUUGUCGUCCACCGCGAGUCAGCUUAACGAUGAUAAAUAAAUGUAGAAAAUUACGUUAAUAAAUCUUUCAAUUACACAGUACCGCAGAAUAAGUCAAUACUUACCUUAAUGUAAUCCUCAAGUCCUUCGAUGAGAGCAGAACACACUUCAGGAAUAACUGUGCUGAUAGUCUGUUUUGAAAUUUUAAAUACAUACUGAAGGCUGGUAUACGAAUCACCAGUUGCUAAAAAACGUAAUGUCAAUGCCAGUCUUUCUGUAAUUGGAAUUGCUUUUCUGAACGACGUAUCUCUCUUACCAAUUUUCGCUCCUAUCAAAUUGAUCAACCACUCAAAAUCUGAUGGGUGCAUUCUUGUAAAGUUCUUGUAAAGACCACUGACUGACUGAAAACUUAAGUCUGCCAACAAGUUCGAGCCACUAUAUGUUGUCCUACUUUCAUACAGUUUUGUAAUCCACCAACGGCGAGAUUUCCUUCGCU